rnacentral:rRNA from 1 species
CCUACGGGCGGCAGCAGUGAGGAAUAUUGGUCAAUGGCCGGAAGGCUGAACCAGCCAAGCCGCGUGAAGGACGAAGGUGCCAAGCAUUGUAAACUUCUUUUGUCAAGGGACAAAAUCAGGCUCGAGAGCCUGACCGUGGGUACUUGAAGAAAAAGCAUCGGCAAACUCCGUGCCAGCAGCCGCGGUAAUACGGAGGAUGCGAGCGUUUUCCGGAUUUAUUGGGUUUAAAGGGUGCGUAGGCGGGCUGUUAAGUCAGCGGUAAAAGCCCGGGGCUCACCCCCGGCGAGCCGUUGAAACUGGCUGUCUUGAGAUGUCGAGAGGUAUGCGGAAUGCGCAGUGUAGCGGUGAAAUGCUUAGAUAUUGCGAAGAACUCCGAUUGCGAAGGCAGCAUACCGGCGGCGAUCUGACGCUGAGGCACGAAAGCGUGGGUAUCGAACAGGAUUAGAUACCCUUGUAGUC